UAUCAUGUCACAAAAAGUUUUAUCCCCCAAAGGUGUUCAGCAAAGAGCUGAACCAACUUUACGAUCUUGACUGGCUACCAACAAUGUGACAAGAUGACAGUGAACAAUUUGUGAUUUUCUCUCCAGUGGAGAGAAAGAAACAGACGGACUCUAAGUUUAAGAAGGAAGAAGAAGAAGAA